rnacentral:tRNA from 1 species
GGGCUCUUGGCACAGGGGUAGCGCGCACGCUUUGCAUUAUGAUUGAAUAUGCUUGCGUGAGGUCGUGGGUUCAAAUCCCACAGUGUCCA